rnacentral:rRNA from 1 species
UACGGAAGGCAGCAAUGGGGAAUAUUGCACAAUGGGCGCAAGCCUGAUGCAGCCAUGCCGCGUGUAUGAAGAAGGCCUUCGGGUUGUAAAGUACUUUCAGUCGUGAGGAAGGUGUUAAGGUUAAUAACCUUAGCAAUUGACGUUAGCGACAGAAGAAGCACCGGCUAACUCCGUGCCAGCAGCCGCGGUAAUACGGAGGGUGCGAGCGUUAAUCGGAAUUACUGGGCGUAAAGGGCACGCAGGCGGUUAAUUAAGUUGGAUGUGAAAUCCCCGGGCUUAACCUGGGAAUGGCAUUCAAGACUGGUUAGCUAGAGUCUUGUAGAGGGGGUAGAAUUCCAUGUGUAGCGGUGAAAUGCGUAGAGAUGUGGAGGAAUACCGGUGGCGAAGGCGGCCCCUGGACAAAGACUGACGCUCAUGUGCGAAAGCGUGGGGAGCAAAC